UUCCUACGGGACGCAGCAGUGAGGAAUAUUGGUCAAUGGCCGAGAGGCUGAACCAGCCAAGUCGCGUGAGGGAUGACGGCCCUACGGGUUGUAAACCUCUUUUGUCGGGGAGCAAAGAGAGUCACGUGUGGCUCAUUGAGAGUACCCGAAGAAAAAGCAUCGGCUAACUCCGUGCCAGCAGCCGCGGUAAUACGGAGGAUGCGAGCGUUAUCCGGAUUUAUUGGGUUUAAAGGGUGCGCAGGCGGAGGUGCAAGUCAGUGGUCAAAUUGCGGGGCUCAACCCCGUACUGCCGUUGAAACUGCAUC
rnacentral:rRNA from 1 species